UACGUAGGGGGCUAGCGUUGUCCGGAAUCAUUGGGCGUAAAGCGCGUGUAGGCGGUCCGGUAAGUCCGCUGUGAAAGUCGGGGGCUCAACCCUCGAAUGCCGGUGGAAACUGUCGGGCUAGAGUACGGAAGAGGCGAGUGGAACUCCUGGUGUAGCGGUGGAAUGCGCAGAUAUCAGGAAGAACACCGACGGCGAAGGCAGCUCGCUGGGACGGUACUGACGCUGAGGCGCGAAAGCGUGGGGAGCAAACAGG
rnacentral:rRNA from 1 species